rnacentral:lncRNA from 1 species
UGAUGCUCUGCCCUAGAACAAACAACAUUCUGCCCUCCCAUGAUACUCUUCUUUAAAACCAACAACAGUCUGCCUUCCCAUGAUGUUCUGCCCAACAGCCAACAACAGUCUGCCCUCCCAUGAUGCUCUUCCCUAGAACCAACAACAAUCUCCCCUCCCAUGAUGAAGGAAGCAUCCCGUGAUGCUCUGCUCUACAAUCUGAUAACAGCCCUCUUUCCUGUGAUGCUAUGCUGUACAGCCUGACAACAGUCUUCCUUCCCAUGAUGACCUGCCCUACAGCCUGACAAGAGCCUCCCUUCUCAUGAUGCCCUGCCCAACAGCUGACAACAGUUCGCCCUCCCAUGAUGCUGUUUCCCAGAACCAACAACAGUCUGCCCUCCCAUGAUGCUCUGCCCCACAGCCAACAACAGUCUUCCUUCCCAUGAUGCUCUGCCCUACAACCGACAGCCACACCUCCCUUGGCACCAGGAUUUGCCUCCAGUCUGACAGCCUUCCUUCCCAGCAUGCCUUGCCCUGGCCUGGGCAGUGUUGUCCACACCCACAUGAGGGUGGUGUCGGUGCUGCCCACGUCCCAGCUGUGAGGUCAGCCAGCCACAGAAGCAGCAGCUGUGGGGACAAGCUUCUGUGCGCAGCUCUGUCGUUCAGCAGCUGUGUCCUUCAGAAAGCCCUGGAGCUCUCUGGGCCUCAGGUGGCCUUUCGGAGUGUAGACAACGCCAACAGCUCUGACCACAGACAGCCAUGGCAGGCAGGUCUGUCAGUGACUAAGGAAUAUGCCCAGCAGAGACACGGCAAGACCACAAACCAUCUUGGGACCCUGAGAAAGAAGACACGGUGGGCGGAUUCAACAGUCUUAUGGGGUCACAAUGCACAGGGCUUGCAGAUCACCAGUGGUUUAACAGCUGUGGGCGGAGGAGUAUCAAGCACUCCCAUAUCCUCGGGGGAAAUGGAAGCUCAUGCUGCCUCUGCAGAGGGUGAAUGGUCAGCACAGAAGACAGCCACAGAUCAAGAAAAACUAGUUGUCAACAAGGCCCACUCACUUAGAAACAAUCUAAAUAAAACCCGGAAGAUCAGAGCAGAUUAUUUUAACAUUUAAUUUGUGUUUUACCCUUAACAAUAUGUAAAAUCCAUGAACAAAAUUUUUGUUCUAUACUUUGUGCUAUA